rnacentral:rRNA from 1 species
AGGUAGCAUAAUCAUUUGCCUUUUAAUUGGAGGCUAGAAUGAAAGAGGUGACGAAAUUUAGGCUAUUUGUUUAUAUAUUAAAAUUAACAUAAAGGUUAAAAGGCUUUUAUAAACCAAAGGGACGAUAAGACCCUAUAAAACUUUACUAUAGAUGUAGUUAAAUAGACAAAACUUAAAUUUUAUAGUUUAACUGGGGCGGUUUAUAUAAAAACAAUUAAAAUAAAAAUAUUUAAAAUAGAAAGAGAGAACUUUAAUUUAAAAUGAAUAAGUUACUUUAGGGAUAACAGCAUAAUUCUCCCAGAGAGUCCUAAUUGGCGGGAGAGCUUAUGACCUCGAUGUUGAAUUGGGAGGUCUAAUAUAAGUAGAAAUAUAUUAAGAGGGUCUGUUCGACCUUUAAACUCCC